CCUACGGGAGGCAGCAGUGGGGAAUAUUGCACAAUGGGGGAAACCCUGAUGCAGCGACGCCGCGUGAGUGAAGAAGUAUUUCGGUACGUAAAGCUCUAUCAGCAGGGAAGAAAAAAAGUCCUUUGGACUUUGGACGGUACCUGACUAAGAAGCCCCGGCUAACUACGUGCCAGCAGCCGCGGUAAUACGUAGGGGGCAAGCGUUAUCCGGAUUUACUGGGUGUAAAGGGAGCGUAGACGGCAGCGCAAGUCUGGAGUGAAAUGCCGGGGCCCAACCCCGGAACUGCUUUGGAAACUGUGCAGCUGGAGUGCAGGAGAGGUAAGCGGAAUUCCUAGUGUAGCGGUGAAAUGCGUAGAUAUUAGGAGGAACACCAGUGGCGAAGGCGGCUUACUGGACUGCCACUGACAUUGAUGCUCGAAAGUGUGGGUAUCAAACAGGAUUAGAUACCCGGGUAGUC
rnacentral:rRNA from 1 species